rnacentral:rRNA from 1 species
GACGAACGCUGGCGGCGUGCUUAACACAUGCAAGUCGAACGCAGUGGCGAACGGGUGAGUAACGCGUAAUCAACCUGCCCUUCCGCGGGGGACAACAGUUGGACACGACUGCUAAUACCGCAUACUGCAGUAGGGUCUUCCGUCGGAUUAGCUAGUUGGAGGGGUAACGGCCCACCAAGGCGAUGAUCAGUAGGCGGGCUGGGGGGUUGAACGGCCAAAUUGGGAAUGAGAAACGGCCCAGACUCCCAAGGGAGGCAGCAGGGGGGAAUCUUCCGAAAUGGACGAAAGGCUGACGAAGCAAAGGCGCGGGAGUGAUGAAGGGUUUCGGGUUGGAAAGCUCUGUUAAUCGGGAAGCGGUACCGGAAUAGAAAGCCACGGCUAACUACGUGCCAGCCGCCGCGGUAAUAC